CAGGGAAUAUUGGGCAAUGGGCGAAAGCCUGACCCAGCGAUGCCGCGUGAGGGAUGAAGGCCUUCGGGUUGUAAACCUCUUUCAGUAGGGAAGAAGCCACGGGUCACCGUGGUGACGGUACCUGCAGAAGAAGCCCCGGCUAACUACGUGCCAGCAGCCGCGGUAAGACGUAGGGGGCGAGCGUUGCCCGGAUUCACUGGGCGUAAAGCGCGUGUAGGCGGUUUGUUAAGUCGGAUGUGAAAGCUCCGGGCUCAACUCGGAAAUUGCAUCCGAUACUGGCAGACUUGAGGACGGUAGAGGUCGGUGGAAUGGCGAGUGUACCGGUGAAAUGGGCAGAUAUUCGCCAGAACACCAGUGGCGAAGGCGGCCGACUGGGCCGAUCCUGACGCUGAGACGCGAAAGCCAGGGUAGCGAACCGGAUUAGAUACCCGCGUAGUCC
rnacentral:rRNA from 1 species